rnacentral:rRNA from 1 species
CACCGCGGUUAUACGAGAGGCCCAAAUUGAUACCUCACGGCGUAAAGCGUGGUUAAGAAACUACUCUCCCAUAGGGCCGAACAGUCACAAGGCAGUUAUACGCACCCGAGACUAUGAAGCACUCCCCUACGAAAGUGGCCCUACCUAACUUCUGAACCCACGAAAGCUAUAGAA